rnacentral:rRNA from 1 species
GACGAACGCUGGCGGCGUGCUUAACACAUGCAAGUCGAACGGAAAGGCCCUGCUUGCAGGGUACUCGAGUGGCGAACGGGUGAGUAACACGUGGGUGAUCUGCCCUGCACUUCGGGAUAAGCCUGGGAAACUGGGUCUAAUACCGGAUAGGAGCCAUUUUUAGUGUGAUGGUUGGAAAGUUUUUUCGGUGUAGGAUGAGCUCGCGGCCUAUCAGCUUGUUGGUGGGGUAAUGGCCUACCAAGGCGGCGACGGGUAGCCGGCCUGAGAGGGUGGACGGCCACAUUGGGACUGAGAUACGGCCCAGACUCCUACGGGAGGCAGCAGUGGGGAAUAUUGCACAAUGGGCGCAAGCCUGAUGCAGCGACGCCGCGUGGGGGAGGACGGCCUUCGGGUUGUAAACGCCUUUCGCUAGGGACGAAGCUUUUUGUGACGGUACCUAGAGAAGAAGCACCGGCUAACUACGUG